rnacentral:tRNA from 1 species
GCCUGGGUGGCUCAGUCGGUUAAGCGGUUGACUUCGGCUCAGGUCAUGAUCUCAAGGUUUGUGGGUUCGAGCCCCGCAUCGGGCU